AGAGGUAUAGCUCAGUGGUAGAGCGUGCGCUUAGCAUGCACGAGGUCCUAGGCUCAAUUCCCCAUACCUCCA
rnacentral:tRNA from 1 species